rnacentral:rRNA from 1 species
CCUACGGGUGGCAGCAGUGAGGAAUAUUGGUCAAUGGGCGGAAGCCUGAACCAGCCAAGUAGCGUGCAGGAUGACGGCCCUACGGGUUGUAAACUGCUUUUAUACGGGAAUAACGCGCCUUACGUGUAGGGCUUUGCAUGUACCGUUUGAAUAAGGACCGGCUAAUUCCGUGCCAGCGGCCGCGGUAAUACGGAGGGUCCGGGCGUCAUCCGGAUUUAUUGGGUUUAAAGGGAGCGUAGGCCACAGGUCAAGCGUGCUGUGACAUGUCCGGGCUAAACCCGGGCCCUGCAGCGCGAACUGGCGGGCUUGAGUCCGCGGAAGGCAGGCGGAAUUCGUGGUGUAGCGGUGAAAUGCUUAGAUAUGACGAAGAACCCCGAUUGCGAAGGCAGCUUGCUGCAGCGGAACUGACGCUGAUGCUCGAAAGCGCGGGUAUCGAACAGGAUUAGAUACCCUGGUAGUC